rnacentral:piRNA from 1 species
CUGGAGAGAUAGCAUUUUGGUGUUUUGGU